UUCGGCUUAUUUCCUCACCAGGUGGCAGCACUGCCUUCUUUGGACACAGAAACUGUGGCGGCGAAUGCGCCACUGUGUUUUGCACUGUGUGGAGUCCGUGCGGUGUCGGUUCGGGGACUGAAUUUCGGUGAAUUUGAUAGCAAUUGAUUUGAAUUUUGCUCAGAUGGGUUGUGAAUUUAUAUUCAGCAAGUGUCACAAACAUGGAAAGGCAAGUUUACAAAGGACAGGAGACUUAGAAAGGCUUCAAUUGACGUAGCCGAAGAGAGGCGAGAAGCCGAAGAUAGACCGACUCCAAACGGUGCCCAGUGCAAUAAUGUUUCUGGUGCGGAGUUGUCAGGAUGGAGUCCGAGGAAUCAAGGAAGGCAGAGGACCUGCGUAUGAAGGAACCAGCCCUGCGGAUGAAGUUCUGAGGUGCAUACAGAGGAAUCCCACUGAAAGACCAGGUGCAAUGCUGCAUUGAUAAGAUCCAGAUUCAAGAGCAUGGAUGCUACCAGAUCCAGUG
rnacentral:lncRNA from 1 species